rnacentral:sRNA from 1 species
GAAGAAAUCUCUAUGCCC